CACGGCGACGGCUUGCGCAUCCGACUGGGGGCGCAGGCCCGAGGCGCCACCCACCCAAGUACCGAGCGCCGCCGAGCCUUCUUGCCGGAUCGCCAUCUGCUGACCCUCCCUAGCAGCCUGCCUCAGCUUCCCUUCCCCUGGCCGGCAGCAUGGAGCCCCAGGAGGGCCGCGUUCACUAUAGCAGGUGGGAAGACAGCAGCCAGGACGAAGUCAGUAUGGCCACCGUGUCAAGCACAGAGACCUCAUGCUGCAAAAAGGUCUCCAGGAAGCUGUGCACGGGCAAGCUGGGCAUCGCCAUGAAGGUGCUGGGUGGUGUGGCCCUCUUCUGGGUCAUCUUCAUCCUGGGCUAUGUCACUGGCUACUAUGUGCACAAGUGCAAAUAAAGGCUGUCCCGUUGAGAGACAUGGGGCUGAGAGAGACCCUGGGAUGUGCAGCCCCUCCCCUGACCCCAAGGCAGCCCCAGCACAAGGGGGCAGUGGUGGUGCCGGGCACAGGAAGAUGCCAGUGUGCAGCUGCUACAGUACCACCAAGAGUGUGCGGGCACAAAGGGACAGAGGCUCGUGCCAGGAUCCAGUACACAGGGACCUCACGGGACAAGACACACCCUGCAUGGUGUCCACACCGCUGGAGGCCCAGGCCCAUCUGGGCAGCAGCUGCAGGACAUCCCAGCUUGGCCCUGCGACCACAGCUCUUCUGCCUGGGUCCCAAGCCCUGGCCACACCAGGCACUGUCCUCCCAGCCAAGUGCCCAGACCACAGGCAGCCCCCUUCCCUCCAGGCUUUCCUGACUCAGAGCCUCGGAGGACACCCCUUACAUGGGUAGCCCUUGCCCAGCCUUUGCAAGGGGACCAAGACCCUGCCACACCACAUGCCUUCCUAGGCCCCCAACUGCCCCAUGAGGACCAAAUGCCAGUGCACAAUAAAGGUGCGGGAAGACUGGAUGGUGACCUCCACCUGCUGCCCUGGCUGUAUGGCCAGGUGUGACCGGUGCCACCUGUGAAGGCCUCCUAUCUGAGCACAGAAUGCCCAGCCUGGCUCCGGGCUGUGGAAUGUGCCCCUCCUGCUUGGGCCCUCUUGCAAGGAUGCAGAGGCCUGGGACACCGUGAGCUGCUUCCUCCUCACCUGACCCCAUGGACGGGCUCAGCAGACCUGAGGCCACUGCAGCUGCCUUAGGGACUUUGGACCUGGCUUCCAACCUGGCCUUCAUCUACUGCAAAGCCAUCUCAGCCCUGCUGGCCCUUGGCAGCAACACCCGGUCAGGAGCUGUUCUCCCUGAGGACACUGCUGACCCUGGGUGUAGGGAAGUAAACAGGAAGGGCCUGGCCAGGAUGUUUCCCCCUCCCCAGGGCCUGCUUAGGGUCCUGGAGCAGUGCAGGAGAGGCCAUCCAUCUGACCCUGCUGCAGGGCCUGCUGUGGGCUGGGCAGCAUUCUAGCUGCCCGAGUUGCUGCAGGGCCCUUGUAGAGAGGUGCGGAUACCCCCAACACACCAUCGGGAGCUGCAGGCUGGGCACCACUGGGGGGUCCAGUCUCGGCUUUCUGUUCCAGAGGCCCCAGGCAUCCCUCAGGGCGGGCCGUGUGCAGGCACAGACCAGAUGAGGCUGGGGCAGGGGGAGCAAGACAAGAGGGGAAGUGACCCAGGAGCUUCUGGCUGGCCCAGUACUCUGGGCUGAUGCUGGGGUCUCAUCUGGCCAGCCAUGCCCCAGGCCCACCCAGAAGCCUGAGAGGCACCCAGCAGGCUGGGGACCCACUGCCUGCAAACCAAAGCCCAGCCCCCCAAGGGCAACCCUGGGCUAGGUGGCUAUGGGACUGGGCAGGUUGGGGACAGUGUGGAUGGAGUCCUGCAGCAGCCACUGGGAUCCCCUCAGCCUGCCCAGCCAGCUUGAGGUACAGGGCUGAGCAAGUCCCUGGUGGGGGCUGGAUCUGGGUGGGGAGAGUGGAGGCAGCCCCAGGUCCUGUUUCCCCAUGCAUGGACAGCACCACAGCCACUGGGAAAGGAUCGCAGGCAGGGGCUGUUUCUUAUCAAAUGUUUCUUUAUUAGAGAGGAUGGGCAAAGGAAAAGAAAGAAUACGAGGCUUCUUUAAGUUAAAAUGUCCCCAAAUCUCACACAUACUAAGAGCACAGCAGGAGCCAGCACAGGACAGUGCUGUGCAGCAUCCCCGAGCCCAGACCUGGAGAGCAGGGAGGAGUCCUCUGCAGUGAGCCAUAGUGACAGGCAGGGCUACAGCAGAUGUCCGACCAGCUGAUGAGAACCCCCGAGAAGG
rnacentral:lncRNA from 1 species